GGAUGUGAAGGCGAUCUGGCUGUGACAUUUGUCACCCCAUUGAUCAUCAGGGUUGAUUUGGCUGACGUAGCUGGCUAGGUGUGUGUCCCCUUCCUCCCUCACUGCUCCAUGUGUGUUCUUCCUGAAGCUGCAUGCUUGGCAGAAGAGGACAACCAUCCUUGAUAGAGGAAGAUGCGUCUUCUGUCAAGGGUAUACGAGUAGCUGUGCUCCCCUGCUAGAAUCUCCAAACAAGCUCUCAAGGUCUAUUGUAGGAGGACGUGGUAAUAAGGCUUCCCAAGCUCCAAGACACAUCCAAGUGCGCACUGGAUGGAGGCAGCAGUCCUACCUU
rnacentral:snRNA from 1 species